rnacentral:rRNA from 1 species
AUAUCAGUCAUGCAUAGCAUAUCAAUAAGCGGAGGAAAAGAAACUAACAAGGAUUCCCUUAGUAACGGCGAGUGAAGCGGGAAGAGCUCAAAUUUGAAAUCUUCAAGGUUUUACCUUGACGAAUUGUAGUUUAAAGAAGUGUUUUCUGUUGAAGUUUUGGUAAAAGUUCUUUGGAAUAGGACAUCAUAGAGGGUGAGAAUCCCGUAUUUGACCAUUACUUUCAGCUUUGUGAUACACUUUCAAAGAGUCGGAUUGUUUGGGAAUGCAGUCCAAAAUGGGUGGUAAAUUUCAUCUAAAGCUAAAUAUUGGCGAGAGACCGAUAGCGAACAAGUACCGCGAGGGAAAGAUGAAAAGAACUUUGAAAAGAGAGUUAAACAGUACGUGAAAUUGUCAAAAGGGAAGCGUUUGACACCAGUGUUGUUUUCUCGAAAAUCAAUUAAAAAGAGUUGGAUUUUGUGUUGUAUUGACUUUAUCAGCUUUCUUCACUCUUUUCCAGCUUUUUUUAAUGCACUUUUCGUUUAACAAGUCAACAUCAGUUUCUUUUGUUGUAAAAAGGUCAUUGGAAGGUGGCUUUCUCUUCGGAGAAGGUGUUUAUAGCCUUUGACUCAUGCAAUCGGAGAGACUGAGGUCUGCAGCGUAGAUCCUUCGGGGUUAGAUACAUUUGUGCUAAGUUAUAGCUUUUCAUAGACAACUUGUUGACUAUGUUUAGUCUUGUAGCUUACUCGCUUAUGCUAUUUUACCUACGCUUAGGAUGUUGAACUCUAUCACACACAG